AAGAUCCUGUUAUGUUUAAGUACAGGACAACCCUGUAUAAUUACGGUUUAUAACGUUAUUUUACUGUAAUAUUGCUUCAAGGAAAGAAAACAGCAAUUUCUUGUAAUUUUUGCAUUGCAUUUUGGGAAAAAGAAUGUGAGACCACAUGCUUGGAAGGAGAGCAGAGUAACAAGACAAAUUUCCACCCAACUCCAUCCUAACAACAAACAGAAUCCUUGCAGUUCCUGUCUGGCAAGGAAAUUCAGAAGGAGGAAUCCGUCACAGCAGCUGAUAUGGAGAGAACCCUCCCACUUCCCACAACUCCUCGGCUGAUACUGCAUGGCGGGACAUAGGGAUCAACCCUGAGCGGGGCACAAAGGCUGUACGGGGCAAAGAGAAGGUGAAAAAGAGCUCUGGCAGAUCUCCGGUCUCAAGUCUCCUAAAAAGAGUAAUGGACUUCGAGUGGGACUUUGUGUAGUCAGUGACACAUACAUGCAGACACACACACACACACACACACACACGCACACGCACACGCACAGACACAAACGCGCACAGACACAAACACACACACAUGCAGACACACACAGCGAUACCUAAUACAGUACAUACCUGUAUGAAUGUUCAAUUUCAAUAAAGACAGACAUGGUUUGAAAA